GAUUAGCUUGUUGGCGGGGUAACGGCCCACCAAGGCAACGAUCAGUAGGGGUUCUGAGAGGAAGGUCCCCCACAUUGGAACUGAGACACGGUCCAAACUCCUACGGGAGGCAGCAGUGAGGAAUAUUGGUCAAUGGACGAGAGUCUGAACCAGCCAAGUAGCGUGCAGGAUGACGGCCCUAUGGGUUGUAAACUGCUUUUAUAAGGGAAUAAAGUGAGUCUCGUGAGACUUUUUGCAUGUACCUUAUGAAUAAGGACCGGCUAAUUCCGUGCCAGCAGCCGCGGUAAUACGGAAGGUCCGGGCGUUAUCCGGAUUUAUUGGGUUUAAAGGGAGCGUAGGCCGGAGAUUAAGCGUGUUGUGAAAUGUAGACGCUCAACGUCUGCACUGCAGCGCGAACUGGUUUCCUUGUGUACGCACAAAGUGGGCGGAAUUCGUGGUGUAGCGGUGAAAUGCUUAGAUAUCACGAAGAACUCCGAUUGCGAUGGCAGCUCACUGGAGCGCAACUGACGCUGAAGCUCGAAAGUGCGGGUAUCGAACAGGAUUAGAUACCCUGGUAGUCCGCACGGUAAACGAUGGAUGCC
rnacentral:rRNA from 1 species